rnacentral:misc_RNA from 1 species
UGUUGUACACGGUCGACGUAGGAGCUGCCGAAGGCUGCGAUCUUUGCUUUUAAAGAUCAAAAGAUCGCAGCCUUCGGCAGCUCCUACGCCGUGUGUU